rnacentral:rRNA from 1 species
UGAAAAUGGAUGGCGCUGAAGCGUCGUGCUUAUACUCGGCCGUCAGCGGCAUGUGCGGUCCGGAUACGCUUCUCGCGUAUCGGCCAUGAAGCUCUGACGAGUAGGAGGGUCGCGGCGGUGAGCGCAGAAGGGCUGGCCGUGAGGCCGUCUGGAGCCGCCGUCGGUGCAGAUCUUGGUGGUAGUAGCAAAUACUCCAGCGAGGCCCUGGAGGACUGACGUGGAGAAGGGUUUCGUGUGAACAGCCGUUGCACACGAGUCAGUCGAUCCUAAGCCCUAGGCGAAAGCCGAUGUUGAUGUGGCGUUUUUUUAUUAGUUUGAACUAACGAUAAAAGAACACGCCCGUCGGGCGAAAGGGAAUCCGGUUCCUAUUCCGGAACCCGGCAGCGGAACCGUACAAUAGUCGGGCCCUCGCAAGAGAGUUCGUCGGGGCAACCCAAAAGGACCCGGAGACGCCGUCGGGAGAUCCGGGAAGAGUUUUCUUUUCUGCAUAAGCGUUCGAGUUCCAUGGAAUCCUCUAGCAGGGAGAUAUGGUUUGGAACGCGAAGAGCACCGCAGUUGCAGCGGUGUCCGGAUCUUCCCCUCGGACCUUGAAAAUCCGGGAGAGGGCCACGUGGAGGUGUCGCGCCGGUUCGUACCCAUAUCCGCAGCAGGUCUCCAAGGUGAAGAGCCUCUAGUCGA